UUUGAGUAAAAACACAUUGUCCGCUUCUACUGUUUUAGAGACAGAUCCGAUCGUCUACCAAGGUCAGAAAGUUGCGACAUUGAAAGAAAAGUUACUAAAAACGAGAUGCCCACAGCGACGAAACUUGUAGCGUACCUCAUCGUUUCUGUCCUGUUUGCAAUGAGCCCAGCUGUGAAUGCAUCUUCGGGAUCAGGAUGGUAUAGGAGUGACUGCUGGAGAUCUAGCUGCAAGGGAACAACUUGCCCUUCACCUUGCCGGUGCCCUGGAGUCGUUCAACGUAUGUUUGGACGCUACACCUGUUAUUGACGGCGAAAUAAACUGUAAAUUUUAAGGGGUCUAAAUAAACAUUGUUCCAUAAAUUGUUGCGGUAUUGUACUUUUUGAGAGCCUGAGCAAAAUGAGUUAAUCAACCACAUUUGCCACAGAAAACGUUCAAGAGGUCAGUUGUACCCGGUGGUUGAGGACGAUUGAUGAUACGAUGGAAUGAAAGCUGCCCGCCAAAUCUAUUUUAUCUACAACUCUUACAUUUUCUUGAAAUUAUCUUAUAUUUCCUCUUUUCUAUCCUUUUUAGGACUGACCAGUUCUUGG